UACGGAGGGUGCAAGCGUUGUUCGGAAUCACUGGGCGUAAAGGGCGUGUAGGCGGCCUGUUAAGUCUGAUGUGAAAUCCCCUCGCUCAACGAGGGAACUGCGUCGGAAACUGGCAGGCUCGAGUACCGGAGAGGAAGGUGGAAUUCCUGGUGUAGCGGUGAAAUGCGCAGAUAUCAGGAAGAACACCCGUGGCGAAGGCGGCUCUCUGGAACGCAACUGACGCUGAGACGCGAAAGCGUGGGGAGCAAACAGG
rnacentral:rRNA from 1 species